UAUUUCAGAAGGUAGAAGACCUGGAUGCUUCAUACUUUGUAUAUAGAUGCCUUAUGAUGUGAAGUUUCCGUCAUUCAUAUGUCCAUUUUCCUUGACCUCAUUUUCAUGGUUCAGUGACUACUUGAAAAAAAAAAUCAGAUUUUUUGUAAUGUUGAUUUCUCUCUUAUUAUGAGUAAUAGGAUAACUAUAUUUGGUAUGUGCGUACCUUGCAAGGUCCUCAUGCCUGUCAGACAGUUUCCACUUGACCUCGACCUCAUUUCAUGGAUCAGUGAACAAGGUUAAGUUUUCGUGGUCAAGUCCAUAUCUCAGGUACUAUAAGCAAUAGGUCUACUAUAUUUGGUGUAAUGAUUGUAAGGUGUACAUGUCCAACUGGCAGGUGUCAUCUGACCUUAAACUUCAUUUUCAUGGUUCAGUGCUAAUAGUUUAGUUUUUGUGUUUUGGUCUGUUUUUCUAAAACUGUAUGCAAUAGGUCAACUAUAUUUGGUGUAUGGAAAUAUUUUACGAUGUACAUGUCAGACUUGCAGGUUUUAUUUGACCUUGACCUCAUUUUCAUGGUUCAUUGCUCAAUGUUAAGUUUUUGUGUUUUGGUCUGUUUUUCUAAUACUGUAUGCAAUAGGUCAACUAUAUUUGGUGUAUGGAAAUAUUUUACGAUGUACAUGUCAGUCUAGCAGGUUUUAUUUGACCUUGACCUCAUUUUCAUGGUUCAUUGCUUAUGUUAAAUUUUUAUGUUUUGGUCUGUUUUUCUUAAACUUUAAGCAAUAGGUCAACUAUAAUUUUUGCAUGGAAUGAUUUUAAGGUGUACAUGUCUGUCUGGCAGGGUUCAUCUGACCUUUACUUCAUUUUCAUGGUUCAUUGGUCAAUAUAGAAUUUCCAUGGUUUGGUUUGUUUCUUUUAUACUAUAAGCAAUAGGUAUCUAUAUUCUGAUUGUGGAAUGAUUGAUUAAAGGUGUACAUGUAUUCCUGCUUCCACCUUUACCUCAUUUUCUUGGAUCAUAAAUGUAAAUGUGAUACUUGUAGUAAAACUUUAUAUGUAGAUCUGUGUUGAAGACCGUACUUUGACCUAUAAUGGUUUACUUUUAUAAAUUUUGACUUGGAUGGAAAGUUGUCUCAUUGGCACUCAUACCACAUCUUCUUAUAUCUAAGGACUAUCAACAUAAAAUCAAUGGUCAGUAUAGUGGGCGAGACAUUUCAGCGUGUGCACUCUUGUUACGUAUAUAUAAAGUAGCCACCUCCAUUUGAAUAUGGGACUGAUACUAUGUGUAGGUAGAGUACCACCGUUCUUGCAUGUUAAGGAACUCUUGAUACAACUCCAAGAGGACUUUGUAGGUGGCCUGUUGCAUGUUUCAAUUUCUGCCUCUGUCUAACAAAUUCUCAUUUUCAAUUGGCAAUCAAGUUUCCUGCCCUUCAUCCCCAACACACUUUGGAGACUACCUAAUUGUUUCUCUCUUUUCAUGUAAUAUUUUCUACUGUACACUUAGCAAUCAAUCAUUAAUCAAUAAGUGUUUUCUGUAAUUUAUGAUACUACCUUGAUGUGAAGUACAUAUUGUAAUUCUUAUUUCUAGAUGUAUUACUGUAAAUACACUCAUGUAACGAUGUUAGGCCAAUUGGGUGUAUGAAUUAACACAAAGAUAUUAUGGUAAAUGCAAAAUGAUAGAUUUCAAUUAAUAAAGAGGGGGUCUUUUAGCAAUUUGAUCUUAUUUUAUGGUCAAUAAAAUUGAGAAUGGAAAUGGGGAAUGUGUCAAAGAGACAACAACCUGACCAAAGAGCAGAAAACAGCCGAAGGCCACCAGUGGGUCUUCAACACAGCGAGAAAAUCACGUACCCAGAGGCGGGCUUCAGCUGGCCCCUAAACAAAAAUGUGUACUAGUUCAGUGAAAAUGGACGACAUACUAAACUCCAAAACAUAUAAAUGAACUAAAAUUAAAAAACAUACAAGACUAACAAAGGCCAGAGGCUCCUGAUUUUGGACAGGCGAUAAAAUGCGGCAGGGUUAAACAUGUUUUGUGAGAGCUCAACCCAUCCCCUAUUCCUCUAGCCAAUGUAGAAUAAACAAACACACAGCAAUACGCACAGUAACACUCAGUUUAAAAGUAUGAUAAAUGCAGGAUAUCCAAUUACAUUUGAUGAAAUCUUGGUGUAUAUAAAUAGUAUAAUUGUAUACUAUGGAAUGUGACAGAUGUAAGCUAUAGGUCAACUUGUAAGUCAACUCGUACUAAAAACAAAAGGUUAUUUGAGGAUCUGUGUUGGAAUGUACAUAAACAUUUGUUUUUGUUUUGCUACAUUAGUUCAAUCAGUGAAUAAUUUUGUAUAAUGUUUGUUAUGUUUUGAAUUAGUUGUGAAGAAACCAUUUAAUUUUCAAGUUGUCAUUCCAAAAUAUAGUGUCAAUGGUAGAUACCUUAGAUAACCCUUAUUCAUUGAAAAUCCUGAUAUUCAAAAGAUUUACAAUUUCAAUCUGUAAUAUAUCUAGUUGAAAAUCCAACAUUUUUUUAAUUGGCGAAGGUGGGGUUAACAUUUUACUUCUCAAAUUAUAACUCUUUAUCUCUGUAUAGAAUAUUGUAAGAUUUUUUUACAUUUUAUUUGUAUGUCAUUUUUAUUCAGUGAACAUAAUUUGAUACCAAUAGAUGACAUACCAGAAAAAAAAUGAAGUCAUUUUCAAUUAAAAAAGGUAGUGGCAGUAAUUGUUUAAUUUUUAUAAGGAUUGUAUUCGGAGUUUGUACCUAUGUAGAAUGAUAGAAAAAGAAUUUAUUUUCAUAUAUGUACUGCAUGCUUACAAAAUCUAUUAUUUGCAUAAUUUUAUUUUUAGUUUGUUACUUUUGUUGCUUUUUUAUGCCCCACCUAGGGGCAUUAUGUUUUUUCGGUCUGUGUGUCCAUUUGUUCCCUUGUCCAUUCGUCCGUUCGUCUGUCCCGCUUCAGGUUAAAGUUUUUGGUCAAGGUAGUUUUUUGAUGAAGUUGAAGUCCAAUCAACUUGAAACUUAGUACACAUGUUUCCAAUGAUGUGAUCUUUCUAAUUUUAAUGCCAAAUUAGAGUUAUGACCCCAAUUUCACGUUCCACUGAACAUAGAAAAUGAUAGUGCGAGUGGGGCAUCCGUGUACUAUGGACACAUUCUUGUUUUUAGUUGUUAUAUGUACCAAAGCUUGCAAAAGAUUGGCUGUACAGUUACAUCACAUCUGAUAUAACUAUAUUUUUCUUCGUAAGGAAUAUUUUAGUUGUUUAAUGGCAUUUUUUUUUUUUCGUUUUUGGCUAUAUGAAUUAGAUAUUAUUGGGAUGUUUUUACCAACACAAUUUCAUUUUUCAGUGGAUCAGUCCCCCAAUUGGAGUGUAUGAUAAAGUUAGCUAAAUUUAUUGUACAUUGUAUUUCAAGUUUUCAAAAUAUUCACUUUCACAGAUUUUAAAUCUGACAAGUCAUUAAUAUGCAGCUUCUGUAUAAUCAUGGCAGAAUAUAUAAUAAACAUCAAAAUUGGAUCCAAAUACAAUUGUACGAUUAUAUAAUAAAGUUUCAGUUGAAGUUUGUGAAAUAUAAUUAAUGUUUUUUGUCUAAUUAUAAUUGAAACUCAAAGGUGUUUUAUCAUGCACAAUAUUAUCAUGUACUACAGAGGAGGAACAGCAUUCCAUGUUAAGUUGUCUCAUAUUCUGUGAUUAUUUGUUAUUUUUUGAUGAUUUUCAAAUGAUAAAAGUGCUCCUUUUCUAAAUAAAAAAUGCCUUUCAAUGAAUUCUUUAAUUACAUAUCUGUAAAAAUUAAAUAAAUAGUUAUGGAUCCACAUAUUUUUUGUUUUUUUGUUUUAUGUCCUUUCAUUUCAGCUUAAACAAAUUGGAAAGAAUUCCAAAUGGCACCUUCCUUGAUAAAUUUUAUGGUGUUAUAGUACUUAUUUUGUAGGGUGAGGUGGUGCCAUAUGGAAGUUUUUCCAAAAUAUUUUACCUGUAGUUAGUGAUAAACUCAUAAAGUGUGAAAAUAUUUGAUAGAAAGUUAAUAAUAUUUAGUGGGUAAUAUAAAUUCUGUUAAACAACCAGAAAAAAAUAUUUUUAAUUAUUUGGAUUCUGCUAUGUUUAACCACUGUCGCUGUUUUUCCUACAAAUGCAGUUUUAAUGUUCUUUAUAUGAUUACAAGUUAGUAAAUGGCAGCUAUAAAAAAACAACUAACAAGGAGAAAAGUUACUUUGUUAUGUAGUUUAAAAUUAGUUUUUAUUACUGCUUAUUAUAUUGUUGUUUUGUUGUGAAUAAUUUUUUGUUGUUGUAUUUUUUAUUUGUUGUACAAAUAUUGAUGUGCAUUAUAUUAAGCUCAAGAUACAGAAAAUAAAAUUACAGUUAGCUAAAAA